UGGACAGAUUCUUGUAUUCGACUGUAUUCACGGCGUGAAACAGGGGAUUACACUGUUUUUAAACGGAAAGUGAAUAAAUUAACAUAAUAGACUCCU
rfam:Nicotiana attenuata strain TT chromosome 2, whole genome shotgun sequence.